rnacentral:sRNA from 1 species
UCGUCGAUGACCGUCGGGGAGAUGAAGUGGACGUGGGCGUCGAUGGCGCCGGCCGUGACGAUCUUCCCGUUGCCCGCGAUGAUCUCGGUCUCGGGGCCGAUGACGAGGGCGGGGUCCACCCCGUCCAUGGUGUCGGGGUUGCCGGCCUUGCCGAUGCCGCAGAUCCGGCCGUCCCGGAUGCCCAGGUCGGCCUUGACGAUGCCCCAGUGGUCGAGGACGACGACGCCGGUGAUCACCGUGUCCGGGGCGCCCUCGGCGCGCGUGGUGCGCGCCUGGCCCAUGGAUUCGCGG